ACCCUGAUAGUGAUAGUGGUUAGCACAUUUGACUCGCGCCUCCGGGGUUGGGGGUUCGAAUCCCACCCUGUGUG